rnacentral:rRNA from 1 species
UACGUAGGGUGCAAGCGUUGUCCGGAAUUAUUGGGCGUAAAGAGCUCGUAGGCGGUUUGUCGCGUCUGCUGUGAAAACCCGAGGCUCAACCUCGGGCCUGCAGUGGGUACGGGCAAACUAGAGUGCGGUAGGGGAGAAUGGAAUUCCUGGUGUAGCGGUGGAAUGCGCAGAUAUCAGGAGGAACACCGGUGGCGAAGGCGGUUCUCUGGGCCUGUGCUGACGCUGAGGAGCGAAAGCGUGGGGAGCGAACAGG